CUUCGACGCGUCCACCACUUGCGCCCGCGAUCACGUCGCGCUUCCACCGGCUCCGAUCUCCAUCCCUUUCUGUGUGAGGUCGGUCAUCAUGUUUGGGGGUGCGCCGGGGAGUGACCGUCCCGAUUACUAUGAGAUUCUUGGUGUUGCAAAGAGUGCAAGCCAGGAUGAGCUGAAGCAGGCCUAUAAGAAGGCAGCCAUGAAGAAUCAUCCUGAUAAAGUUGGUGACGCUGAGAAAUACGAGGAGUUGUCUCAAGCAUAUGGAGUUCUCAGUGACCCUAACUAAAAAGAGGGAAAUUGAUGAUAAAUACAGGAAAGAUGCCCUCAUGGGAGGUGGAGACAAAUCUCAUAAUCCUUUUGAAACAUGUGAACAUUUUUUGUGGCGGUGGCACCUUUGGAGGUGGCAACUCUAGACAUUAUAUAUACCUAGAGACGUGGUGAAGAUGUAGUUCAUAGCUAACGGUUUCUUUAGAAGACUUGUACAACGGUGCAUGCAAAAAGAUUUCCCGGUCGAGAAAUGUGCCAUGUCCAAAAUGCAUAGGGUUAUAGAUAAGUGGAAACUUGUAGCAAAACUACUUGUCCUUUGAUUGAUUCUACUUGUCCACGAAAGGCUCCAACAGUGGGAAAUCAGAGACAUCCCAUUCAUGUCAAGGUAGAGGCUUGAAGAUUGUAACAAGAAUGCUUGGAUUAGGCAUGAUCCGACAAAUGCAACAUACGUACGAGCAAUACAGCAGCUCAGGCGAGAUCAUCGGCAGAAAGGAUAAGUGCCCUCGGUGCAAAGGAAAAAAGGUUAUCCAGGAGAAGAAGUUACUGGAGGUGCAAAGGAAUGCAACAUAGAAGAUUGUAAUCCGAGGAGUGAAGCUCCUGACACAGUGGCGGGACACAUUAUCGUACAACUCCAGGAGCAUCCACAGUUCAAGAGAGCAUUUGGUGAUCUCUAUGUGGAGCAUUGGCUCAGUCUGGCACAGGCAUUUUGUGCCUUCCACAAUUUGCUCUGACUCAUCUCGAUGGUAGAGGGUUGCUCAUCCAGUUAAAUCCAGGGGAAGUCGUGAAACCUGGUAAAUCUUAUAAUUGCUUCACCUUCUCUUAUUAGUUUUCAGCUUCCAUGUAACAACAUUAAUCUGGCAUGU